UACAGAGGGGGCAAGCGUUAUUCGGAAUUAUUGGGCGUAAAGGGCGCGUAGGCGGCCUGGCAAGUGGAAGGUGAAAUCCCUCGGCUUAACCGAGGAACUGCCCUCCAAACUGCUUAGCUUGAGACCGGGAGAGGUGAGUGGAAUUCCCAGUGUAGCGGUGAAAUGCGUAGAUAUUGGGAGGAACACCAGUGGCGAAGGCGGCUCACUGGACCGGUACUGACGCUGAUGCGCGAAAGCGUGGGGAGCAAACGGG
rnacentral:rRNA from 1 species